AAGGAUAUAGUUCAAUGGUACAGUACCUGCCUGGCAAGCACUAAGUCCUGGGUUUGAUUCCCAGUACCCACA
rnacentral:tRNA from 1 species